GAGCAGCCGUGCUGAGCACCAGCCAGGCCUUCAGGGAGCCCCGCGUGUCCACCAGGGGGGCCCACACGAGUUUAAACAGCCAGGGCAGUGGCACCCACAGGACUCCCGAGGCCCAGAAGAGGAAGUGAGUACGGCCCGUGGUUAAGAACCACCUCCGGAGCGGACAGAGCUAGGGCCUUCGUUCUGUCUCCGAACCCUCAGCCCCCUGAAGCCGACCCAACCCCUAGAGGAACAGCUGGUGAAACCACCUGGAGUGGGUCUCCUGUCACUUCGACAAGCUUCCUCAUCUGUAAAAUGAGGACUAGCGUCCCUCCCCAAGAUGGCGGCGACCCCCAACCGUGCCUGCCCUGCACACAGUGAGCUCCAUCUCUGCUCCCGGGGCCGGGACGUAGGGCUGCACACCCACCCCCAGUCUGGGCCUCCCCGGGGUGCCUGUGCGUCAGCAUUUUACAGCCCUUCCCCCAGCACCUGCCCUGGAGUGCUCCAGCGUGGGAGGGUCCCCUCGCUGCCUCCCAGCCCAAGGGCUGUGUUUGCACUAGGAUGUCACAUACUCCAAACCCAAUACAAACAAAGCAAGA